GACGAACGCUGGCGGCGUGCUUAACACAUGCAAGUCGAACGGAAAGGCCCUGCUUUUGUGGGGUGCUCGAGUGGCGAACGGGUGAGUAACACGUGAGUAACCUGCCCUUGACUUUGGGAUAACUUCAGGAAACUGGGGCUAAUACCGGAUAGGAGCUCCUGCUGCAUGGUGGGGGUUGGAAAGUUUCGGCGGUUGGGGAUGGACUCGCGGCUUAUCAGCUUGUUGGUGGGGUAGUGGCUUACCAAGGCUUUGACGGGUAGCUGGCCUGAGAGGGUGACCGGCCACAUUGAGACUGAGAUACGGCCCAGACUCCUACGGGGGGCAGCAGUGGGGAAUAUUGCACAAUGGGCGGAAGCCUGAUGCAGCAACGCCGCGUGCGGGAUGACGGCCUUCGGGUUGUAAACCGCUUUCGCCUGUGACGAAGCGUGAGUGACGGUAAUGGGUAAAGAAGCACCGGCUAACUACGUG
rnacentral:rRNA from 1 species